rnacentral:ncRNA from 1 species
AAAGUACCGAUGAAUAGGAAGAGUACCUAUGAUGAUCAGUGUCAGCGAGUUAGUGAUAGUGAAAGACUAAUACUAGAUGCGUAGGGAAUGGGCUUAUGAGGCGUAAUCCGAACUAGAUAGCUAGGCGUUACCGGUCAACUCAGACCGUUAUUAUUGAGAACAUAUCGUUGUGGUGUGGAUGCACGCGUGUAUGGACGAAUGACUUGAUUAGAAUACAAGCGUUUUUCUAUACUGUGAUACACAUUAUGACUGUAUGAAUAAGCCGAAUCAUAUAUGAUUAAUUAGGGUGGCACCGCGGAGUAACCUUCGUCCCUUUU